UGGGGAAUAUUGCACAAUGGGCGAAAGCCUGAUGCAGCAACGCCGCGUGAGUGAUGAAGGUCUUCGGAUUGUAAAGCUCUGUCUUCUGGGACGACAAUGACGGUACCAGAGGAGGAAGCCACGGCUAACUACGUGCCAGCAGCCGCGGUAAUACGUAGGUGGCAAGCGUUGUCCGGAUUUACUGGGCGUAAAGGGUGCGCAGGCGGAUAUUUAAGUGGGAUGUGAAAUCCCCGGGCUUAACCUGGGGGCUGCAUUCCAAACUGGAUAUCUAGAGUGCAGGAGAGGAGAAUGGAAUUCCUAGUGUAGCGGUGAAAUGCGUAGAGAUUAGGAAGAACACCAGUGGCGAAGGCGAUUCUCUGGACUGUAACUGACGCUGAGGCACGAAAGCGUGGGUAGCAAACAGG
rnacentral:rRNA from 1 species